GCGCCAGUAACUCAGUCGGUAGAGUAUCGCCCUUUUAAGGCGAGAGUCGAUGGUUCGAACCCAUCCUGGCGUACCA
rnacentral:tRNA from 1 species